CGUUCCCCCUCCCCGUGUCCUUCCCCCAAUCCCCUCAGGCUCGGCUACACCGGGGGCCGCGGGCCGGUACCUGAGGUGGCCCAGGCGCCCUCCAGGCCGCGGCGCCACCCGGCCGUCCCUUCCGCGCCCCCGCCCCCGCUUCCCCCCCGCCCUCAACCUCCCUUCCCCCUCCCCGCCCAGCGGCGGCUGCUCCGGCCCGGCUCUCGGUUAUAAGAUGGCGGCGCUCAGCGGCGGCGGUGGCGCGGAGCAGGGCCAGGCUCUGUUCAACGGGGACAUGGAGCUCGAGGCCGGCGCCGGCGCCGCAGCCUCUUCGGCUGCAGACCCUGCCAUUCCCGAGGAGGUAUGGAAUAUCAAACAAAUGAUUAAGUUGACGCAGGAACACAUAGAGGCCCUAUUGGACAAAUUUGGUGGAGAGCAUAAUCCACCAUCAAUAUACCUGGAGGCCUAUGAAGAAUACACCAGCAAACUAGAUGCCCUCCAACAAAGAGAACAGCAGUUACUGGAAUCCCUCGGGAAUGGAACUGAUUUUUCUGUUUCUAGCUCUGCAUCACUGGACACCGUUACAUCUUCUUCUUCUUCUAGCCUUUCAGUACUACCUUCAUCUCUUUCAGUUUUUCAAAAUCCUACAGAUGUGUCACGGAGCAACCCCAAAUCACCACAAAAACCUAUUGUUAGAGUCUUCCUGCCCAACAAACAGAGGACAGUGGUACCUGCAAGGUGUGGAGUUACAGUCCGAGACAGUCUGAAGAAAGCACUCAUGAUGAGAGGUCUUAUCCCAGAGUGCUGUGCUGUGUACAGAAUUCAGGAUGGGUAUGGUUUAGAAAAGAAACCAAUUGGCUGGGACACUGACAUUUCCUGGCUUACUGGGGAAGAAUUACAUGUAGAAGUAUUGGAGAAUGUUCCACUUACAACACACAAUUUUGUACGGAAAACUUUUUUCACCUUAGCAUUUUGUGACUUUUGUCGAAAGCUAUUGUUCCAGGGUUUCCGCUGUCAAACAUGUGGUUAUAAAUUUCACCAGCGCUGUAGUACAGAGGUUCCUGUGAUGUGUGUUAAUUAUGACCAACUUGAUUUGCUGUUUGUCUCCAAGUUCUUUGAACACCACCCAAUACCACAGGAGGAGGCUUCCUUAGCAGAGACCACCCUUACAUCUGGAUCAUCCCCUUCUGCACCCCCCUCAGAGUCCAUUGGGCCCCCAAUUCUCACCAGCCCAUCUCCUUCAAAAUCCAUUCCAAUUCCACAGCCUUUCCGGCCAGGAGAGGAAGAUCAUCGAAAUCAAUUUGGGCAGCGAGACCGGUCCUCAUCUGCUCCCAAUGUGCAUAUAAACACAAUAGAACCUGUCAAUAUUGAUGAUUUGAUUAGAGACCAAGGGUUUCGUAGUGAUGGAGCCCCCUUGAACCAGCUGAUGCGCUGUCUUCGGAAAUACCACUCCCGGACUCCCAGUCCCCUCCUACAUUCUGUCCCCAGUGAAAUAGUGUUUGAUUUUGAGCCUGGCCCAGUGUUCAGAGGAUCAACUACAGGUUUGUCUGCCACCCCACCUGCCUCAUUACCUGGCUCACUCACUAAUGUGAAAGCCUUACAGAAAUCUCCAGGACCUCAACGAGAAAGGAAGUCAUCUUCAUCCUCAGAAGACAGAAAUCGAAUGAAAACGCUUGGUAGACGGGACUCAAGUGAUGAUUGGGAGAUUCCUGAUGGGCAGAUUACAGUGGGACAAAGAAUUGGAUCUGGGUCAUUUGGAACAGUCUACAAGGGGAAGUGGCAUGGUGACGUGGCAGUGAAAAUGUUGAAUGUGACAGCACCCACACCUCAACAGUUACAGGCCUUCAAAAAUGAAGUAGGAGUACUCAGGAAAACACGACAUGUGAAUAUCCUACUCUUCAUGGGCUAUUCCACAAAGCCACAGCUAGCUAUUGUUACCCAGUGGUGUGAGGGCUCCAGCUUAUACCACCAUCUCCACAUCAUCGAGACCAAAUUUGAGAUGAUCAAACUUAUAGAUAUUGCACGGCAGACUGCCCAGGGCAUGGAUUACUUACACGCCAAGUCAAUCAUCCACAGAGACCUCAAGAGUAAUAAUAUAUUUCUUCACGAAGACCUCACGGUUAAAAUAGGUGAUUUUGGUCUAGCCACAGUGAAAUCUCGAUGGAGUGGGUCCCAUCAGUUUGAACAGUUGUCUGGAUCCAUUUUGUGGAUGGCACCAGAAGUAAUCAGAAUGCAAGAUAAAAACCCAUACAGUUUUCAGUCCGAUGUAUAUGCAUUUGGGAUUGUUCUAUAUGAAUUGAUGACUGGGCAGUUACCCUAUUCAAAUAUCAACAACAGGGACCAGAUAAUUUUUAUGGUGGGACGAGGAUAUCUAUCUCCAGAUCUCAGCAAGGUACGGAGUAACUGUCCAAAAGCCAUGAAGAGGUUAAUGGCGGAGUGCCUCAAAAAGAAAAGAGAUGAGAGACCACUCUUUCCCCAAGUUGCACAUCCCAACCGCCGAUCCCAGGAGGACCACAAGACCCAGCAUGCGUAGCGCUGAGGAAACGCAGGGACGCACCCCCACUACCCGCUCCGGCCUCAAGGUGAGCGCGUCUGAGCGCCGCGCCUUUCGCCAGAACCCUCGCCACCACUCAAACAACUCACUGCCGCACUCCACCGCCUCCGGCAGGCCGCGCGCGACCACCUCGCAAGAGACAGCCUGCUACGCGUGAGAAAGGGGCCAGCCGGGUGACAGCCGACAUGCUCCCCGUGUCCGACCGCUGUCCCAGCCCCGCCCCACACGUCACUCCCCGGCGCCGCGUGGGCCAUUACGUCACGGCAUCGCCGUGCUGCAAGUCAGGCGACGCAGGCGCGUUAGAUCUCUGGGAGGGAGGAUGCGGCUGUUGUGAGAUACACGGCUGAACCCCCUCUCUUUGGUGGUUGUUUGAAGGCCCCCUAAGGGAGCCCGAUGCAGGGGCUCCCUCGUGACUUGGUGUGGCGAGCCUCUUGUUAACGCCUGAGCCAAGAAAUUUCCAACACUAACUCAACUUUGGUUGAUCGAGGUGUUUUAGAAUGUGCACCUGCCGUGCCGUCUGCCUCUCCUAUGAUAAUUGCCUUCUGGACCCUUGUGGCUACCGCCAAGUCCUUUCAGAACCCUCGGAACUUUCUUUUUAACUCUUAGUCUUUAUUCAAAAAUAAAAACACGAGCACAAAAAAUGUCAUCCAUACACCUGGAGCCGAUCGCCUCGGGCGCUAAUGCGUCCCUAAGGUAUUCACUCGGCCACAGCCACACACACCUUGGGGGCGCCUGGAGGACGCCGAGGCCACCACACCCCGGGGCCAUGGAAUGUCCCGCCACAUACUAAUGACGUGAGCAAGUGUGUGUCAAGGUAGCACCAGACUCCAAGGCUGGGUGGAGUGUGGGUGCUGCUGUGUCUCCAAGUCACCAACACACGUACCUGAGAUCUGCCGGAGUAACUUGGUUCUCUUCCAUGGCAGGCCGCCGCUCCUACAGAAGACAGAGCGCUGGUGGUUUCUUAUAAGGCCAUGGGACGUCAAGAGAGCUCCAGGUCCUCAUCCUCACAUACAUAGCCCUACAGGUCCACGCGCCUUUAAGAAAGGUCCCUGGGCCAAAAGGGACCACCGCCUACCCGUGGUCUGAUGGCGUAUUCCUCAGCAGCAAACCUUUCCCAGUUAGAGAGCUCUGGGCCCUCACUCUUGCUCUCCCUGAGCAGGGACGCCUACUCUUUGUAUGUUCCAGGCACUUCUCUAUGUUGAAGAUGCUGGCCAUAUUGUACGGCUUCAUAUCCCAGUGUGGUCCUCCCUGGACACUGCAGCUUGAGAUCCUCUCUGGCACAGGCAGCCCUGAAAAGACAGUGCCUCCAUGCUCAGACUAUCUAGCUGCCCAUAUUGCUCCUCAUAGAACUACAGCUCAGACAUGGACAGUGUCCAGUCCAUGGCCAGGUCCAUGCAGCAGAACCAGUACUUGAUGCUGGUCAGUUUUUUCUUGGCCUCUUCAGAGACAAAAACCAGAGAAGUUGGCAUAGCUGAUCUUCUGUAUCUUCCUCCCCAGAGUCAUGGCUCCUGAGAUGAUCCUACUGAUAUUUUGGCAGAAUUGGCAUGGUCCUUAUGUCAGGUCGUGCAUCUCAAGAAAAGGUCAUGGUUGGUGUUGAGCUCCCAAAACUUGUAGUAGAUGACAGAGAAGUGCUCCUAGGGACCAGGUGUGGUGACAAGUGCCUCUAAUCCCAGCACUCAGGAAGCUGAGACAGGAGGAACACAGAUCAAGGACAGCCUGUGCUACAAAGUGAGUUCAAGGUCAGCCUGAGCUGCUUAGUGAGACCCUGUAUCAAAGAAAUAAAGUACCAAUAGAACUCCAACAGUUGUCCACCUCCUCCUACAGCUCUGCACAUGGAAUUCUUCAGACCAGGACCUGUACAUCAUGUGGAAGAUCCUCCAGAUGGCUUUGGUGACGUUGGGGCAGUGGAAUUCCAAGACCUCCUUCAGGAAGGACAAGCCCAGCUCUAACUGUCACAGAUACUCAGACUGACCACCGAGAGCUGCCCUGCUCUGAAGGAAGGACAGGCCCAGAGGCGCCUGUGCUGAAGGCCCACCCAAUACCCUGUCCUUGCCAGCUUCCCAGCACCUCCCAUCCUGGGGCCUCACCUUGUGAGUCAUCAGCAACCUGAAGACACUGGAGAGGAGGCUGGAGACGUGGAGCUGGGGAGAGGAGUGAGGCUGGUGGGGAUGUGGAGCCUUCCAAGCACUUCCAACCCUGGGUCCCUGCACAGACUCCGAGAGGACAGUGCCCACAGGAGCCCCUCUGCGGCUCCCCAGGCAGCAGGCUCCCACAGCCCUGGGCACCACCCACCUUCUCCAGAGUGACACUGUUCUUCCGGGCCUGGGUCACCAGUGCAGCCAUCUCAGCCUUGAAGCCCUCCACAUCCCUGCACUCGCUGGCCCUGGCAUGGUGCAGGAUGAGCUCCGCCACCCUGUGGCCCUGGAAGGUGCCAACAAAGCGGCUUGCUUAAGCCGAGCUGGCAAAAACCAACCUGGGAACGGCAGCCAAUCUCUGAGGGCCCUCCUGGCCAGAAGCCACCUUUGGUAAUUCAAAGUACGGUCAAGGCAAGGCCGUGCCAUCUCCUCAGCUCUCCUGGGCCCCCAAAGAACCUAUGGGUCCUGCUGACCGCCUGGCCUGGCCCCCAGCCACCAAGUCCCAGCAGGGCUCUUCCUGCCCACACAGGGGCUUCUCCAGCUGUCUAGCCCCAGGCUCAGCCUAGCUUCUCUGUGUCCCUGGACCCCACUGACCAAAGCCCCACAGUCAGCUCAGACACUUAGUCCACCGGUGGUCAUCUGAGUGCCCGUUGCCUUCUGCAGCGUGGCCCUGGAACCCAGCUCUUCCUCAUGGGGCUGUGACCUUUGUCCUUCACUCAAACCUGUCCAGAGGAACAGUAGCCCCACAGCACUGUACCCUGCUCUCAGCAGGGGACACUCAAGUUGGCCACAGGCUCCAGCUUGUGCUUGGCCCCUCAGGAGACACCUAAGACUUAUUUUUCUUUUUUUUAAUGUUUUUAAAAACAGGGUCACAUCAAGUAGUCCAUACCAGCCCUGAACUCACAAGUUUGAAGGCUGGCUUCAAACUUGUUAUCCUCCUGCCUCAGCCUCCCCAGUGCUUAGGAUGACAGGAAUGCACCACCACACCUGGCUAAAUAGGCUUCGCCCAAUGCCUUUUCUCUACAUAGUUAUGCCAGAUCCCUGGGGCCCCUCUGGGUCACAGAGGACCUGCACAGGUCCCAAGGUCACAUUCUUCGUACUGUGGCUUCUCCCCAGCUGAUCAUCCUGCAGCACAACACACAGAUAAGGACAUUACUGUCUGAUCCAGAACCAGGCAUGGUGGCAGACACCUAUCAUUCCAGCCCUCCAGAUGCUGAGGCUGGAGGGUCACAAGUUCAAGGCCAGCCUGGCUACACAGUGUGUUCCAGGCCAUCCUGACCUUAUGUGUGGCUGUGUGGUCCCUAGAAAGAAGCAGCUGAGCUCUGCGGCAGGGCACAGACAGCCUGCAAGAUGCCACCCAGCAACUCUCACCUGGCCCAGCACCACGGCAAGGAACACAGCCCGGAAAUUCCUCAGGUCAGCAGCCUGUAGUUCAGCCACAAUGCCGGCAUCCAGCAGCACCAGGCGCAGCGGGCACAAGGCUGGUGCCACCACUGCCACCAGUGGGUCACAGAGGCCCACCUGCUGCAGCUGGGCCUCAUGGCCCAGGGACAGCCCCUCGGUGCCCUGCACCAGGAUGUUCCCGGGGUGCAGGUCCGCAUGCACGAAGUUGUCCACAAAUAUCUGGAAGGAGACAUGUAACUUGUGACAGGACCAGCCAGCCCCACCAAUCCUCCUGCAGGACAAGCGUCCCAGUGACAGGGAGGGGAGUGAAGCCCGUCUGCAGGACACCAGUUAGGAAAUGCACAGUGAAUGAACCAAGCUGCAGUUCUUAAAGAGAAAAAUGAUUUUCAAAAUAAUGAAUAAGAUGGACUGUAUGUUUUCCUUACAGUUUGAGUCAUUAAUGUUCUAAGUUAAGAAACAUUAUCAAUUCCUUGUUUGGAAGUUCUAUCCAGAGCUGUAUUGCUGGCCCUCAGUGCUGGGCUGAACCUCGAGCCUACACACAGGGAUACUUCCCAGCCGCUCCUGUAUUGUUUAUUUGACACAGAGUCUCACUGUAUUGCCCAUUUGCCAAGGCUGGGCUCAACCUUGCAAUCCUCCCAUCACAGCCUAAUCCCCAUGCUGUGAUUACAGGUCUGUGCUACCAUGCCCAGCUGAACUACAUUUCUUCCAAAGCAGUUCAUACAGCUGGGCCUCGUGGCACAAACCUCCAUCCCAGCAUGUAGGGGGCUGAGGCAGGAGCAUCACUUGAGUCCAGGAGUUGGACAGCAGUCCUGGCAACACAGUGAGACUUACCUCCAAAAGAAAAAAAAGUUUGAAACACCGGACUGUUCCCUCAUCUGGCGUCAGGGAGGCUUGUAGCAAAAGACAAUAAUCGGGGCUGGGUAGGCUGGGGAUUUAGCUCAGCGGCAUAAGCACCUGCCUUGCAAGCAGGCGGUUGUGAGUUGGAUCCCCAGUACCGAUAAAAAAAAAAAAAUAAUAAUCGGGGCUGGGGAUUUAGCUCAGUGGCAUAAGCGCCUGCCUUGCAAGCAGGCAGUUGUGAAUUCGAUCCCUGGUACCGAUAAAAACAAAAAAGACAAAAAAAAAGACAAAAAUCACCAGCCAUCAGCAGUUCCUCCCCAGGGGCCGAGGGGAGUGGCCAACAUCCUUUCCCCCAGCCAGCUGGACCUUGUCACCCAUCCCUCAGCCACUGUCUUCUGUCCCAGGCCCUGGGUCAGCUGGCAUCUUCUCUGCUCCCCCUGGGUAUGAUGUCACCAUUACCAUAGCACAGUGUCCUCCUGGAGACAUUAACUCGUGCUCAGCUGUAGUACCCACGAGCCAGGCCCUUGAAGAUGAAGCCUACUGACCAAGGAAGUAACCUGCCUCAGUCUCCCCUCUCUAUGCCAAUGCUCUGGAGCAGAGCCGAGGUCAGAAUGCAUACAGGUGCAGCAACACCAGCCUGGCCUCCUCACCACCAGGGGCUGUCCCUGCACUGCCCAGCUGCCUGCCAGGCUUCCUGUGCACGCCUUCCUGGUCCCCAAGCAGCAAGCCUCCUGUCCAACCCCUCCCGAGGAUGUGGAGCCUCUGAAUCCCCACGUCCCACACUGGGCUUUCUAUGCCCCAGCACUGCCUCUCAGUUUGAGGCUAGGGGAGCAGAGGGCAGGUUGGUAACCAGGGGCAACCACCCCAGCUGUGACAAUCUACCACAGCCCCAGCUGUCAUACCCACCAGAACAUCUGCUCCAGCUUUUAUGGAGGGGAAAGGCUCCCGGCACAGCCAGGCUCACAGGCCUUAGCCCUGCAGAGCCCACUUCCGGCACAUGGUGGGCUCCCCGGGAUGGAGACGCCCAACCAUGUUCAAGAAUCAACAGCAGCCUGCUGUAGCAGCUCAUGCCUGUAGUCUCAGCACUUGGGAGGCUGAGGCAGGAGAAUCACCAUGAGUUGGAGGGCAGCCUGGGCUAUAUUAGUGAGUUCAAGGCCAGCCUGAACUACAUUGCAAGACCCUAUCUAUAAAGACAAAAAAAAAAAAAAAAAAAAGAAAGAAAGAAAGAAAGAAUCAACACCAGCCCAAUAUGGUGGUACACACCUAUAAUCCCAGCACUAUGGGAGGCUGAGGCAGAGGGAGCAAAAGUUUGAGCCCAGCAUGAGUAAUUUAGUGACUUAACAAGAUCCUCUCUCAAAAUAAAAAAUAAAAGGCUGGGUACAGAGCCGGGCAUGGUGGCUCAUACCUGUAAUCCCAGCACUCGGGAGGCUGAGGCAGGAGGAUUGUUGUGAGUUCAGACCAGCCUAGGCUACAAAGUGAGCUCAAGGCCAGCAUGAACUGCACAGCGAGACCCUGUCUCAAAAAGACAAAAAAAAAAAGGCUGGGUACAGACUCAGCACCAAGACCCUGAGUUUACUCUGUGUCAGGGACUCGGCCUUGCUCAACCCUUCCCACAGGCACAGGUCCCUGCUGGCCUUACCAUCCAUGCCCAGCCGAGCUGCCCCUGCCCUGCCCUGCCCUACCCUGCUCACCAUCUUCAGCAGCAUGUUGAUGCCCAGCCUCGCGAUCCUCUGCUUCAGCUCGGCGGGGAUCCCAGCCUGCUGGUAGCUGGACACAGGCACACUUUCCUGGAAGGGCCAGAGAGAGCAUUAGCUUAGCUGUCACCCAUGCCCUGCCUUCUGCCCCUGUGCCCUGUGCCAGGGACACACGGGCCUGGCUUCCUUCCUGUUGACUGAGAGCAGACUCAGUGUUAGGGUUCACACACUGUGUCAACUUAGAACGUUUAAAACUUAACUAAGUGAUAUAACAGCUCUACCUGCUAAGGUGUAGAAAAGUCACCAAUCUAAGGUAUGGGUCACUGUGUUAAUUUAAGAAGGUUAAAACUAAAAAAAAAAAAGGUCAAAACUUUAACCAAGUGAUGGGGGUCAGGGUCCCCAGUUUGUAACAUCCUCAGCCUGUGCAAGAAGAAGGCAGCCAAAAAAAUAAAGAAUAAAAAAUUUUUAAAAAGGGGCUGGGGAUUUAGCUCAGCGGCUUAAGCACCUGCCUUGCAAGCAGGUGGUCGUGAGUUCGAUCCCCGGUACCAAUAAAAAGGAAAAGGACAAAAAUAAAUAAAUAAAUAAAUAAAUAAAUAAAUAGAGGAGGGCAGGCAGACGGGAGUAUAACCCAUCCCAGGAGAGCAGCCUGCACACAUUUAAAAGGCAAAUAAAAAGAGACUAAUUGCUGCCUCUUUGCAGGAGCUCUGGUCUUCCUUUUCAGCUUAGACGUCUUCUGCUGGCUUCUGCACAAAACAGUUGGCUUCUGCCUGAGACUUCUGCCUCAGCCUUCCCUGUAGAAGACUCUCUAGCCUUCCAUCAUAGAUUCUUCAGCCUCCUAUCGCAGACCCAUCAGCCUCCUGAUACGGACUUGCACGGGACACUGCAGUAAGCCCCAGCCCUUCGGCUGGACCCUCUAGCAUGCAGGCAUCAUCUGCAGGUUCCCACAUUCAACUCUGUGGCUGACCACUGUACGCCGAUCUUGUAUUUCUUAUACAGUUAUAUAUCUUGUAUUGUAUCUGUUUCUCCUUUUUUAAUUUUAUUUAAAAGGAAAAAGAGAAAAACACAAAACAAAACAAAGCAGUAUAAGGGUACAAGUAAUACAGAACUACAAAAAAAAAACAGUAAGAAAUCACCAGUUAACAGAUUACAUAUUAUCAUCUUAGAGAUAGUUGCUCAAAUCACAGUAUCAUAGCAUACAAAGUGGACACUCAAACAGUGAGACUGCAAACAGUUGUGUUCAAUGAUCCAACCAAAAACAUUAAUAUGGUCAGCUAUUUAACACCCCUAAACACACUUGCUGUUGUAUCCUUUAGAGCUCUUUUUUUCCCUCUCUUUUUUACAACAAAAUUUACACAUUUUGGGUUUUAUAUAUCUGUUUCUCCUAAACCCUAACUGAUAUACUCAAAGUCUGAUCUUAUAGCAAUUUAGGAAUCUGUCACCUACAUGCUGGUUUUAACUUAUUUACAUUUCCUUUAUGUUUGUUUUUGACUCACCAUGAAGUUCAGGCUGGCUUUAAAUUCACUAUGUAGCCCAGGCUGGCCUCAACCUCAAGGCAACCCUCCUGCCUCAGCCACCCGAGUCCUGGGAUAACAGGUGUGUGUCACCAUACCCUGCAGACUCCUUUGAAAACCUUCUCUGCCAUCCUAUUCACUAAUGACCUAGAGAAGGGCACAAGUGGUUUGCAGUCUUGGGCUUUUCUUUUAUUUGUUCGUGAAGGGUGACAAGGUCCAUCUCAGUGGUAGCUUUGGCACAGGUACCCAUGCCCCAUGGAGGCCUAUUCACCAGGGGCCCACUUCCUGCUUCUGCACUUCCUGGAUGAGGCAAAAGAAUCCCAUGAGUUCAAAACCAGCCUGGCUACAUAGCAAGACAAGGCCAGCCUGAACUGCCCAGUGAGACCUGUCCCAUGAAACCUAAGGAGUCUGUGGCUCCAGGCAGGGCUGUGCCCCUGCCCCUUCUGACCACGCUCCCCAUCCUCCCUUGUUUCCAAACAAGAGUCCCCUCCAGAGGGAAGGGCACAGCCAGACUCACCUCAUAGGUUUCCACCAGGAUGUCACUGGUGACAAAGGGGCGCAAAGGCGUGGGGAACUUGACCGAGGCCACAUCCCGGAAAUUGCGCUGGAAGUGUUCUAGAUUCCGAGCUUCAUAACGCAGGUCGAUCUAGGGGAACACAGAGACAAGGUGAGCCUGCCUGACCACGAGGACAGCCACGGCUGGCAGCUGUCCCAGAUCUCCACUGGAACUCCUGUCCCCUGCAGACGGGGGAUGCCUGGUUGGUUGUAGGAAUUGCAGGCCGGCUUCUCCACCUAAGGACUGCCCUGCUCGCCUCCCACUGCCUCAACUCUAUCACUGCUGUUUGCAACAGCCUCACAUUUGUCAGACUUCAAAAUAAACUUAGUUCUAUGUUCUG